GACGGCCAUAAAAGUCUUUAGCU
rnacentral:snRNA from 1 species